rnacentral:lncRNA from 1 species
UGGAUGUCUUGGGAGGGGCAACAGCUGGAACCAUGCAUGGUUUCCCUUCCAAGAUCAUCAACAUGUUGAAUCUAGGGAACGGAACUGCAUUGUACUGUCGAAGGAAUUCCAUACCUAGAACAAUGGUGAAAUCGUCUAUUGUUGCCACCGAGAAGUCCACCCUGCCUGACUAGUCGCCAAGCCUCAACUCGGUCCCUGUUGCUACGCCAUCCACAGGUUUGGCCUGGGCAUUUACGGUCUUGAUCCAACCCUUGGAGUAUGUCACCUUGAGACCCAACCGUUCCACCUCGGUUGGAGUCAUGAAAUUAUGAGUGGCGCCCGUAUCAAUCAUUAUGUGGACGACCUUGUUGUUGACGUGCCCCUGCACGUACAUGAGACUCCUAUCACCCGCCUGGUGAGGAGUGGGCUUAACGUUCAGUGCGCUAAGCAGCUUCAGACAUCCCAUGGAAGCUUCGUUGCCAUGCUCCCUGUUGCUCCAACA